rnacentral:piRNA from 1 species
UGUCAGGUGAGUUUGGAGUGGCCACUGAC